AAAUAAAAAAAAUAAUAUAUAAAAUAUAAAUGGGAAAAUCAUAAAAAAUUAUUAAUAAUUUUAACAUUUUUAUUAUACUAUAAAAUUUAAAAACUAAAAAAGUUUCUUUCAUACAUUAUAAUUAUUUAAAUAAUUAUAACCUUUUCUGACUUAUGUAAAAAUAGAAGUUCUAAACUAUAUUCUUGUAAGAAUAUGAUUUAUUAACAAAAAAAAAUGGAACAUAAAAUAUUAAAAAUAUUUAAUUUUAAUAAAAUAGCGUACAAUGGGUUUCAAAAGAUUGUAACACAAAAGCGAUUUUUUCUAUCAGAAGCAUACCGAUGUGAAGAAGCAUGGAAAAAUCGAUUACAAUCGCCAUUGCUACAAAAAUUUAAAUCAAACGAUUUAUUUAUUAUUUUGGAUAAUAAAUUUCAUAUUGAUAAAACAGUUAGUGCAGUAGAUAUAGAUAUAUUUGCAAAUAGCUUAAAUAAAGAGGAUCAAGUAGAAGAAUUAUUGAGUCUACUCCAAAAAUUGAGGAAAAGUGCAGAAGCAUCGAACAUAUUAGAUUCAACACAUCAUGCUGUCAUAAGAUAUUUAUUAGAUAAUAAUUAUACUGAAGAACUUAUGAACGUAUUACAUAAUAGACUUAAUUAUGGUAUUUUUCCUGAUUAUGUCACUUAUAACAUACUCAUGGAUACAUACAUAAAAAAACAAGAUUAUGCCAAUGCUGCAAAAGUUGCUAUUUUACCUAUGUUACAAGAAGAAUCUGAACAUUUGAUAACCAAUGCAUUAUCUGUAUAUGCUUGUCACAAAUAUUUAGAAAAUCCAAAUAAAUGGCAGAAACCACCAGAACCUAUAGAAGAUACUAAAGAAGAAAUUAAAAUACGUGUAGCUUAUCUUAGAAAUCCUUUUUUUGAUGACCAUUUUGAUCUUACUGAUCCAUAUGAUUUAGUUGGAAAAACAUUAGCUUUUCAAGGAAAAUUUAUGAAUAAUGAGUUAGGAAGAACAUGUCAAUUAAGAGGCUUAAUAUUAUAUAAAAAAUAUCAAGAUGCAUUAAAAUUAAUAAAACAAUGGAUAAAUGAAAUUGAAGGAAAUAUUGUUUACAAAGAAGUUUUUGAUUUGAUUGAAAAAGAUAAAAAAAAUGUAUUCCAAGAACAAGAAACAGAUGAAUUUAAAAUUUUAAUGUCAGAAGUUAAUUUGAUAAAAGAAAAAAAUUUGUGUACAGAUAAUUUAAUUAAUGUAUUAGAAAAUAAUAUCAAAUCUGCAAUUGAAAAACAGCAUGAUAUUGAUAUAAAUGAACAAAUGCAGAAAUAUGUAGAGUGGGAAAAACAGAGACAAUUAAUAUUAGAUAAACAAAUGGAAGAAAUAAAUCGAAUAGCUAAAAAAGAAGAAAUAGAGAAAUUAAAAGAAGAAAUGAAAAAGCAAGAACGAUUUUUGACUUUCUUUGAGAAUGAAGAAGAUAUAGAAUUGCAAAUAGAGGAAAUAGAAGAAUUCGAAAAGAAAAAAAUGGAACAUGUUCUUAAAAUGCCUCAUGCUAAGAAGAAGCUGAAAAAAUUAGAAAAAGAAAAAGAAUAUAUACCACCUACAAUUUAAAUUGCACCUGUUUCUUCUACUAAAUUUACAAGUUCACUACAAUCAGAAUGAAGUGUAGCUAAUAAUUUAUAAGCUUUCCUUGAUGCUUCAUUUGUUCUUGCAUCUCGAAAUAUUAAUUCAUCAGCAACAGUAAAGGAUCUUUCUAAUCUGCCUAUAAAUAUCGCUGCCCACUUUUAGUUAUACAAACCGGUUGACAUCAGAUACCAAAAAUUUUCUAGAUGCGUAUAAAAUCGUUCAGAGGAACACUCACCAGCCUAUUUGACGCAAUGAGUGAAUUAUUAUAUUGUCAACCUCCUCCAUCAUCCGUAAAAAUGUGAAAAUUCUAAAUUCUUCUACUAUAUUGUUAUAUCGAAAGAAAUUUAAGUUGAAUUG